GACGAACGCUGGCGGCGUGCUUAACACAUGCAAGUCGAACGGUAAGGCCCUUCGGGGUACACGAGUGGCGAACGGGUGAGUAACACGUGGGUGAUCUGCCCUGCACUUCGGGAUAAGCCUGGGAAACUGGGUCUAAUACCGGAUAGGACCACUGCCUGCAUGGGUGGUGGUGGAAAGCUUUUGCGGUGUGGGAUGGGCCCGCGGCCUAUCAGCUUGUUGGUGGGGUGAUGGCCUACCAAGGCGACGACGGGUAGCCGGCCUGAGAGGGUGACCGGCCACACUGGGACUGAGAUACGGCCCAGACUCCUGCGGGAGGCAGCAGUGGGGAAUAUUGCACAAUGGGCGCAAGCCUGAUGCAGCGACGCCGCGUGAGGGAUGACGGCCUUCGGGUUGUAAACCUCUUUCAGCACCGACGAAGCGCAAGUGACGGUGGGUGCAGAAGAAGGACCGGCCAACUACGUGCCAGCAGCCGCGGUAA
rnacentral:rRNA from 1 species